rfam:Batrachochytrium dendrobatidis JEL423 supercont1.12 genomic scaffold, whole genome shotgun sequence.
AUCUACGGGCCAUACACACAAGAAAAUACCGGAUCCCGUUCGAUCUCCGAAGUCAAGCUUGUGAUGGCUCAGUCAGUACUGUGGUGGGGGACCACACGGGAAUACUGAGUGCUGUAGUUU